GUUCGGACUGGAGUCUGCAACCCGACUCCACGAAGUUGGAUUCGCUAGUAAUCGCGCAUCAGCCAUGGCGCGGUGAAUACGUUCCCGGGCCUUGUACACACCGCCCGUCACACCAUGGGAGUCGGAAAUGCCCGAAGUCUGUGACCCAACCGCGAGGAGGGAGCAGCCGAAGGCAGGUCGGAUGACUGGGGUGAAGUCGUAACAAGGUAAC
rnacentral:rRNA from 1 species